GAUCCUAUAGCUCAGUUUGGUCAGAGCGUCAGUCUUAUGAACCGAAGGUCGUGGGUUCGAACCCCACUAGGAUCA
rnacentral:tRNA from 1 species